AGGUGGCUUUGGAAAGCGCGGUGUGCAAGGCAACGCGGCUUAGCCGGGAGCUAGUGUUCACGGCGCUUCGUUCCAGCUUUGUUCUAGAAUUCCGCUAUGGUUAUCCCUGGGACUUGAUGCCUGCAUUACGGAGCUUGGGGCUGGAACCGGGAUCCUUGCGCUUUGUGCUAUGUGUGCUUAACACGGUGUGCCACCACCCAAACCCCACUGCUUCUCAUUUCUAUGACCUAUUCAUUAUAAAUGGACUAAUUAAAGCAGUCUGUCAUAUAUCAGCAGUAAGAAGUGAUCAUUUUGGCUAUUCUAGAUGUUUACUGUCACAGCCCUAGAGAUUUAACCUGGGACCUCUGAUCCUCAGGCAAGAAAGCUGUUAAGCAAAUCACAGUACUAUCUUCCUGACCCCAUCUCAGUUCUUAAUCAUGAUGGUGAAUUUCAAAGGGAAACCAGCAUAUACUUGAAGACUCAGUUUUCCUUGGACUGAAUUUACAAACAUCUGGCGCCCGACGUGUCCCGCACUCACGCCUGGCCUGAAGUCCAGAAAAGCCGCCCAGACACAGGUAAGUGGCAGCCGCCUGACUCUGUG